ACCUGGGUGGCUCAGUGGUUGAGCAUCUGCCUUUGGCUCAGGUGAUGGUCUCAGGGUCCUGGGAUCGAGUCCCACAUCAGGUU
rnacentral:tRNA from 1 species